GUUGAACACUACCCAUUUAUAGUACGUUUUUGCAAAAGAAACUACCUAAGUCAGAGAAUGAAUGAAUUAAACAAAUAAUAAUAAUGUUGCAUGUAUCUGUGAUCACAUGCUGUUCAAGUUGCGACUUCCUCUCAACAGCUAAUUGCUUUCUACAUGGCUGGCAGAACACUAUUUUGCCAUCCAUUGUAAAAAUUUCGCACUCUUCAUUAUAUGUGACAAUCCAAUUCCGAAGUUUUGCGCUGAGAGGAUUGGUGUUUUCGGCAUUUCUAACAAUGAACAGCCCGACUCGUACUCAAUUAGCCCAAGGAAGUUGACUUUGACAAGCAGAUUGUCAUCUCUUUCAAACAGAAAGUAGCCCGUUUAAAAAAUAAAAUUGCCCAAUAUGUAUAUUUUAUAUGGGA
rnacentral:lncRNA from 1 species